GACGAACGCUGGCGGCGUGCUUAACACAUGCAAGUCGAACGGAAAGGCCCUGCUUUUGUGGGGUGCUCGAGUGGCGAACGGUUGAGUAACACGUGAGUAAACUGCCCUUGACUUUGGGAUAACUGCAGGAAACUGGGGCUAAUACCGGAAAGGAGCUCCUGCUGCAUGGUGGGGGUUGGAAAGUUUCGGCGGUUGGGGAUGGACUCGCGGCUUAUCAGCUUGUUGGGGGGGUAGUGGCUUACCAAGGCGUUGACGGGUAGCCGGCCUGAGAGGGUGACCGGCCACAUUGGGACUGAGAUACGGCCCAGACUCCUACGGGAGGCAGCAGUGGGGAAUAUUGCACAAUGGGCGGAAGCCUGAUGCAGCAACGCCGCGUGCGGGAUGACGGCCUUCGGGUUGUAAACCGCUUUCGCCUGUGACGAAGCGUGAGUGACGGUAAUGGGUAAAGAAGCACCGGCUAACUACGUG
rnacentral:rRNA from 1 species